rnacentral:tRNA from 1 species
GAAAUAAUAAAUAAAUAAAGCUUCUAACUUUAUAACAAUGAAUUAAAAAAUCAUUUUAUUUCU